CGUGCGGACUGCUGGGGCGCAAGCCCCGACCGGCCUCGGGACGGAGCGCAGGAUCCCGGCCGCCCGCGGCCCCCCCUCAGGCGCCGCCUACCGCAGCCCGGACAGCGCCCUCGCGGGUCGGCCUCGAUGGCCAGGAGCUGACGGAGUCGCCCCCUGGGCCGGCCGGCCGCAGACUCCCGUCAGCGGCGCUGCGGCCCCCGCCGACGUCCCCUUCCCACUUGUUCAGGGGCGUCCAGACCCUCUGAAUGGGGACGCCGACCCCGUGUCCAACGGCAGCCCAGGUGAUGUGCAACCUCAGGUGCAGCAGCCUGCCACCGUCGAUGCCCAUGGGUAGUCUCCCAGCUCCUCGCAGCCCGCCGAGCAUGUGCAGGGAGCCGGCCGCACACUGCUGACUGGAGACCGCUUGACACGCCCCCAUUUCUCUCGCCAGAGCGAGGCUCCGCGUGCCCACUUGCUGGCAGAGACAGGACAACCCUCAGGCCGCAGGUUGUUGGGGACUCUGGCCCCUGGGAACCUCAUCGAGCGCGGGCCUCGGCAGAGGGAGCUGCAGGGGGCAGCGCCUGCCUGGACCCUUGGCACUUCGUACGCAGUUCAGCACAGCCUCAAGGGCUAGGACCUGAAGGAGCCAACUCUGGUCCUGAUGACUUUUUGGUUCCUGGGAGCCCUGGCUACCUUUUGUUCGAAUUAGUUCGAGAGACUCCCUUGUAUCCGUCCGAAAUACUCGUUUUUCGUUAGCUAGUUUUGGUUCAGUAAAUAACACUGUCUUUAAGAAGACGAAUAAAGAGUUUCAGAACAUAGAUAUCUAAAUUAAUUUGCACUUCGAUUUUCUUUUGGUGAAAAAGAGAUUUAGUCUUGGAUUGUCACGUUAACAAGGAAGGCUUUUCACCAAAAGGAUCAGACUUCUGGAAAGAACUACAGGCUUAUGUGAUGGAGGAAAAGCAAGGAGAACUUGGAUGACAGCGUUUUGAAAGUUACUGGUACUACAUAUCAGUUGAGUAUUUUUAUGAUUCGACUUUCAUUUGCCGCUUCUCUUACAUCUUCAAACAGCAACAGAAACCAACACCUCCAAUUAUAUAGCCAUUUAUUCAUCUUUUUUUCUCUGUCUUGGAUAUCUGCUGAACAAGAUCCUGGGAGACCUAAACAUAAAAGUUGGAGGAAAAAAUGAAGAGAAAUAUUUUGGCUGCAUAAUUCUCCUCCCAUCCCUACCCAUGCCAAGUCUUUUCCUUUGAGCUCUGAACCAUUAACUCAUUAACUCUUAGUGCACUCAGAGGCGUUACUAAGCUAAAGGGGAUUUUCCUCACCAGGGAAGAAAAAGGAACAAAGCUAUUUAUCAUUUUCUGGAGAAGAGAGAAAGGAAAACUAUCCAAAUAUAUUUUCUCUGAUUAAAAACAGCUAGCACCAUGAUCCUCCUAAUUACUAUCUCCCUUCUCCAAACUUCCUUAUCUAUGACUCUUAACUCUCUCAUCCAAUUAUUCAGCAAAUAUUUAAGUAGUUCAUACUAUGCAGCAGGCGUUUUUCUAAGCAUAGGAUUUAAAAAAUUGAAAUUCUAUAAUCUCAAACCUCAAAGUGAUGGGCAAACAGAUGCCAAACAACAACUAUAUACUACAUAAAAAGUGACUCAAUAGAGGAAUGCACACAGUGCAACGGAGAUCUGAAAAAACAUUAACUCUGGGAUUACAGAAAGGCUUCAGAGAAGGAGGAAUUGACUUUGACUUGAGAUUUGACGUGAAGAGUAACUAGGAGGAAUUCAUCAGGCAAGCUGGCCAAGAACUCUGGAGAUUGACCAAAGGAUUACAAUAAUACUAGGAGCAUUUAUUUAAGAAAAAUAGAUGAUUUGGGACAGAUGUCUACAAUAUGGCUAAUUAAGACAUUCCUCACUGUAACUCCCUGCUCAACAACAACAUAUGGGCAUCCAUCCACAGAAAAAUGUACCUUUGCGAGAGCUAUGGGAUCCAGCACUAUGUGUCAAGGGACCUGAGAGGAGUCUUACCCACCCAAGUGUCAAGUAAUAGGCAUACAGACCUCAGUCUUGGUUGUGGACCCUGCACUGACCCAUGAACUGGCUCCAGCUACUUUCAGUGCCCUCUCUCUUUGUCCUUUCCUGGAGAAUACUGUCUUAGACAAUCACUCAUAGACAAGUGAGCCUUUGUGGAAGUCUAGGAGCUCAGCGGAGAACUUCCAACACAUAGUUGGAACAAAAAAAAUACAAGUUUGAAUGCACUAGAGAGGGUAAGAGGAAUAAUUUGACUUUACUCACAUCACCCCUCACCCAAGGUGGCACAGCUCCAAGCCAGGAGAGACCUUCUUGGCCCAAGAUUUCUCCCAAAGGGGAAAGUAAGAGCAUGUAAGUGAGCACUCAACUUCUCCAGCUGGGUGGAAUGCUGCCACAAAGGCCCAUUUCUCUCUCACCCCAUCCAGAGUACUGAGUUGUGAGCUACACUAGUUGGGAAUGUGAAGUGGCUGGGAGAGUGGCAAGUAGGACCCUCAUAUGGCAUUAAAGGGCUGCAGAUCCUAGUAACUGCAUUGUGGACUUCAUCAAGAAGCUGCCCAUGAGAUACUGGAGAUACCUCAUCUGUGGAACCCCCACCUGGCUGAUGGGCACCCCCAGGGCUCUGUGCACCUCACCCACAUGCCCUGUGGCCAACUCCCUGUGCAGGCUCCUGAUGGUGGCAAGAAUGAACUUUGGCAGAGGACAAGUGAGCAUGUACAGAAAACCGACCUGAGUCUUCAGGCAAGAAAGAAACCAUAAACUUGAGCUUUUUGAGCUUUAGCACCACCCUUAGGAAACCUCAAUCAGGUUAAUGGCUGACUUUUCAUCAGAAACCAUGGACACUAGAAAGCAAUGGAAUGACAUUUUCAAAGUGCUGAAAAAGACAACCAAGAAUUCUAUAUCUUACAAAAGCAGCUUUCAAGAACAAAGGAGAAAUUAAUUUAUUCUCAGAUACUAAAAGACUUUAUCAUUAGCAGACCUACACUACAAGAAUUAUUAAAGGGAGUCCUUUAGGCUGAAAAAGACACUAGAUAGUAAUUUGUUUCAACACAAAGAAAUAAAAGCACUGGUAAAGAUAACUACAUAAAUUAAUAAAAGUGACAGUAUACAUAUCUUUUUGUAAAUCUUUUUAUAGCUAAUAUUAAAGACAAAUGUGUAAAUCUAUAAUUAUAAAACUAUAUUGAUGAGAUUAUAAUGUAUAAAGAUGUGAUUUAUAGGAUAAUAGUAGCACAAAGUUGGGGGAAAUGGAGCUGUAUUGGAGCAAAGCUUCUGUGUAAU
ensembl:lncRNA